rnacentral:rRNA from 1 species
UACGUAGGGUGCGAGCGUUGAUCGGAAUUACUGGGCGUAAAGCGUGCGCAGGCGGUUUUGUAAGACAGAGGUGAAAUCCCCGGGCUCAACCUGGGAACUGCCUUUGUGACUGCAAGGCUUGAGUGCGGCAGAGGGGGAUGGAGUUCCGCGUGUAGCAGUGAAAUGCGUAGAUAUGCGGAGGAACACCGAUGGCGAAGGCAAUCCCCUGGGCCUGCACUGACGCUCAUGCACGAAAGAGUGGGGAGCAAACAGG